GCCCCAGUAGCUUAAACUACCAAAGCCUUGAUCUUGUAAAUCAAAAAUGGGUUUUACCUCAACCCCUGAGGCA
rnacentral:tRNA from 1 species